GGUCAGGCGGGACCACCCGCUGAGUUUA
rnacentral:rRNA from 3 species